CCUACGGGGGGCUGCAGUGAGGAAUAUUGGUCAAUGGACGCAAGUCUGAACCAGCCAUGCCGCGUGCAGGAAGACGGCUCUAUGAGUUGUAAACUGCUUUUGUACGAGGGUAAACGCAGAUACGCGUAUCGGUCUGAAAGUAUCGUACGAAUAAGGAUCGGCUAACUCCGUGCCAGCAGCCGCGGUAAUACGGAGGAUUCGAGCGUUAUCCGGAUUUAUUGGGUUUAAAGGGUGCGUAGGCGGAGCGUUAAGUCAGUGGUAAAAUUGAGGGGCUCAACCCCUUCCCGCCAUUGAAACUGGCGCUCUUGAGUGGAAGAGAAGUAUGCGGAAUGCGUGGUGUAGCGGUGAAAUGCAUAGAUAUCACGCAGAACCCCGAUUGCGAAGGCAGCAUGCCGGCUUCCUACUGACGCUGAUGCACGAAAGCGUGGGUAUCGAACAGGAUUAGAUACCCCAGUAGUC
rnacentral:rRNA from 1 species